AUUUGAAUGUACUUUUAAAAAUGCAUUUAAUUUUGUAUGUGUUCUUUGAAUGUACUUUUAAAAAUGCAUUUAAUUUUGUAUGUGCUAUUGGUGUCAGGAAUUAAUAAGAAGAACGGAAGUACAGGAGAUGUCAUUAAAUUAUAUAGAUCUCUCUUAGACUAUAGCCUUUAAACAGGGACAUUAAUAGAAUUAACAGGUAAGAACAGGUCGGCCCCAAAAAUAAGUGUGUGUGUGUGUGUGUGUGUUUGUGUGUGUGUGUGUGUGUUUUACCAGAUCAAUGAAUUGAGAAAAGAGGUCAUACAUAUCUUGUGCUGACAAAAACCCAUAUGGUUAAAAAAAAUCAGCACAGUAAGUAAGGGAAGAAAUGUGAACUACAUUGUGCUGGAAAGUGUCUUUUAUGUACAACAUCCGCUUUGCUGUGUCCUCUUUAUGCUUCCUGCCUUGUUCCCCAUGAGUAACUCUGGCUUGUGAUGGCCAAGAUAGCCGAGACCUUUGAUUCUCUUACCUCCAAAGUUUGGAAAAAUAACUCAGUGUGACCUCCAUCAGGUAAGAGAAAGAAAGAGGCUAGGGAGAGUCGGCUGCUUCAUUUCAGGUGAGUCAGAAAAGAAAUCCCAGGGAUGCUCCUAGCAGUCUCACUCUUUUUCAGAGUGUAGCUUCUGACUCCCUGGUUUAUACAUGUACCCCCUGGGGUUGGGAAAUUCACUUGCUUAGUUCUCACUGGCUUUGUGGGGUGUAAUGAAGAGACUAGAAUGUUACUGCUUCUACUCUACCACGUCGGUGUAGCAGUUUCUCAGCGGCUUCAUCCCCCAGUCAUCCCUUUUUUAUGUACACUCUACAUGCUUAUCGCAGUGGAAUGACUGCAGUCACUUCUAAAUGUCAUACUAGUUCUAGUAGCACCACUAGUAGUACCAGUUGUGUGGUAUAUUGAAGAUGGCCACAAAUUCCUUGUCAACCUCUCAUUGAAAGGUAGAAUCUAAUAGUCUCCCUUGGAAUCUGGGAUGGCAGUCCUACUUACUUGACCAACAGAAUGUGUCAGAAGGGACUUUCUGUAACUUCUGAAGCUAUCUCGUAAGAAGCCUUGUAGAUUCUGCUCAUGUCUCUUUCCCCUCUGGGAAACAAGUCACGACUCAGGGAUAAGUCUGAGACACAUGGAGAGAACAUCCUGAUCAAUCUGGUCUUUGCCGCUACCCUCGUCAACAGCCUGAGCUGGAUACCUGGCUGACAAGUACCACCUUUUUGCUACACAGAUGACAACCCAGCCCAUAAGCACCAGGAAAAUUAAGCAAAAAGCAGAAAGAAAAAAGGAAAGAAGUCUGGGAGUGACGUUAUAUGCUUAUGGCCAUGCAUCUAGCAAAUGGCAAAAAAAAAUGGAUGAAGACACAGGACUGAUUGUCACUAAAAACCAUGUGGUAUGUUUGAGCAAGCCCUUCUCUAGAGAAGACCCAUAAAAUUUGACUCAUGAAGAGAGAGAAAAAAAUUCAGGAGGCAAAAGUAAUAUGGGGAGAAAAUGAAAGAGAUUUAGUGCAGCUAUCAACCGACCGUUGUGCUGUCUUUAAGAGUCUGUUGAAACAACAUAAUAAAAGGGCCUGACUCAACAAAUAUGAAGAGACCAACAUAAUGCAAGCAUGACCGUGAUGUUGAGUGACUACCUUAACGCUGAGGACACAGAACUAAAUGACUUUCUGUAUGAAAUUUGCAUUCUCACAGGUGUAAUAGUUAAUAAGCAAGUAAUGAAAUAAAUAUAAAAAUGUAACAGGUUAUGGAGUAGGUGUCCAUGGCUGUGGAAAUGUGUUAUGUAGGAGAUGCGAUUGAUGAUAGAGGACAAUGAAAAUUGUUGGGAUUUUUGUGCUCAGGUUUUUUUUCUGUAUUAUUGCCAUUUUCAAAAAUAUGUAUACUAAAGUCACAGCUUUCAUAUACACUGAUAACAACUAGUUUAAAAUAUGCAAUAGAAAAACCUAUUCUUUGUAGAAUAGUACCAUGCAAAGUAGUUCCACUGGGUGCUCACAAAAUCUCCAUGAAGGCCUCUUCUACCAUAAUUUGGGCUUGAGCCUGCCUUUUGCCUGACUCCCUUUGUAUGGGGUGCACCGUUGUCAACAACAUCUAAAAUUUUCAUUUCAAAUGCUCUUUGAGCUAAUUUUGGUCACCCAGGGGCUCAAGGGCAAUGGGUUCUAGCUGCCAUCACACUCUGCCUCAUUAUGGAGGAUUUCAGGCCCCCCUUGGUCUCCCAAAGUGAGAUUUUUCUCCCUUCUUCUUCAAUUCAGCCCAGUCCUCUCUGCCUGCCUGUGGAUGGGCUGUGUCACAAGCUCUGUUCCCUGUGUCAUGGGUAAUAGUCACUCAGGGAAACUUGCCAUCUGGCAAAAAUGCCACGUUUUUGUCACAAGAACUUUCCUAUGUCCAGUGCUUCUGUUUACCAUUGGGAGAAGAUAAUUAUCUAUGUUUUUUUAUUGGAAUAGCAAAUAGCCUGAGGACAGUGAAGGAAGAUCAUGAUCCCCCCUCUAUGACUUAGUCACACUUUACCCCAUACGUAGAAUGCUUCCACAUGCAAAUCUCUCCCCUCCUUUAAAGCCCACUCCAAAUGGUACCUGCUCCAUGGAGCCUUCUUGAGUAACAUAAUGAUCUACCCGUCUUCUGAAGUUUCAUAGGAAAUCUCUUGGAGCCAAAGUGGCCUGGAUUCAUAACCUGCUUCAACACACACCAGCUAUACAGCUUAAGCCUUCAGUGUUUGCUGCAGUGAUAUCACCUGUACCACAGCUUCUUCUGCAGUGUGACCUUUUCACUUCCCCAUGAUGAACUGGAGUGUAAUUUCUAAGUUAAUCCAUGCUUGCCUUAUAAGUACCUUGACCAAAUAGAUUACAAUGGAAGUGGGAUUGCAUGACUUCAGAUACUGUUAGAAGAACCCAGCUGCCAGCAGAAAGCUAAGGUACAUAGAGAGGCCUCUACGUAGGUAGGUGGCUCUUACAGACAGUCUCAGCUGAGCCCAAACGUCAACUCACCUCAGGUUCCAGACCUGUACAUAAAGAAAUCUCUUGUUGAUUUCAGUCUCUGGACAUUUGAGACCUCCCCACUGCCUCAGGUAUCUUGGAGUAUAAACAAGCUACUUCUGUGAUAUCCUGUUCUAAUUCCUGGCCCACAGACUUCAUGAACAUGAUCAAACGGUUUCAUACCACUAUGAUUCAGUGGUCUUUUAUGCAGCAAUAAAAAAAAAUCUAGAGCAGUGUUUCAAUUCCUAAAUGAGCAAAAUGGUAUGAUACUGUCAA